CCGGUCGAAGUUAAAACCGCUUACUGUUUGGAGAAACAACCAAUAGCUACACAAGGACAAAGGUAACUAACCUAAUAGACCUAACAUAAUAUUGUAUCAUAGUUUGUCCUCUCCUAACUAUCAAUGGAACUAGAAAAAGAGUUUAAUCCUAAUUAUUAGAUAAAUAUUACGUUAAGUAAUUUGAUGAUAUUUUCUUGGUUACUGAGAAAAUGAAUAAAAAAAUUUACUAUAAGAAGCCAUACACCUAUAACCAUAAGUAGGGUGUCAACUAAAGCUCGACUCGACGGGCUCGCGAGUCCAACGAGCCGAGCUCGAGCCUAAAACUCAAGCUCGAUAAGCUUAUCGAGCCGAGCUUGAUCUUGGACUUUUCAAGCUCGGCUCGGCUCGGCUCGGCUCGAUAAGCUCGUUAAGGGCUUCUUAAUAAUUAAAUAAAAUAUAGAUAUUAAUUGAUAAAGACUAUUGAAUAAAUUACAAGAAAACUUAAAUAAAAAUCUUAAAAAAAAAACUAGAUAUAGAUAUAGAUAUUUUUCUUAAAAUAUUUAGAUUUUAAUUUUCAAUUUGCAAAAUUGCAAGUUAAAUUUCAAGUUCGAGCCCGAGCCUGGACAAUUCCUUAACGAGUCGAGCCCGAGCCCGGCUCUAUAAGCAAAAGCUUGGCUCGGUUCGGCUCGUUUGACACCUAUAAGAGAUGUAAAUGGAUAACUUAGGUAAUCAGUAAUCUAUAAGCCCUACCCAUAAGGAACUUAGGUAAUCUAUUACAUGCCUAGAAUAAAAAUGACUCUUUUGAAAAGAAACAAAAACUCAUAAAUGAAUGACUGAGCAUGGACACCCAGAUAAAAAAUUCAACUGCCAAGAUUGGCAUGAAUGAAUGAUAUAACUCGUAUUUGUUGAUACAGUACUUGAAUGUUGAAUCACACAUACUUUGAAGAAUAUAGCAGGCGAGCCUAUUAGAAAUACCUAUGGUGAUAAAACCAUAUACUCAUACUGUAUUACAGUUAUAUUACCUAUAUACUCAUAUAUUGUGUUGCUACUGACACAUCACAUUCAGUGGCGGAUUUAGGAAUUUUGUGAUGAAGGGGCACCUUUAUACAAUACUAAAACUAAAAGACUUCAUUCAUAAGAAUAUUCAUCAAAUAUUGAAUAGGAUUAGAAAUGAAAUUCAUUCUUCAAAUAUAAUUUACUAUAUUUAAUAGAAUUAGAAAUAAGAUUAAUAAGCUUCUAGUCAGUGUUAUUUUUUAUGGAGCAAGGAAUAGCCGAUUUUAUGGUGACAUAUUGACAUAGUUUUUGUGUGAUUAGAGAUAUGAUGAUUUAUAUACUAAGUGGAUUCUUAUCUCAUAGCAUUUACCAUAUUUUUUUCCAUAGAUUUAAAGAAAAAGAAGAAAUUGGUGAAUGAGGGAAGUAGGAAGAAAUAAAGAAAUCAAACCUGAAGAUCUGAAAUGAAAUCCGACGAUGGAAGAGGGCUCGACGGUGACGGGAUAACGGCGAGGAUCAGCUGGAUUUGAUGAAUGGAGAGAGAGGUUGGGUGUGCCGAUGCAAAAAUAUCAGGGUUUUAAUGAAAAGAGGAGGAAAUUAGGAACGAUACUACAGUUUUAAUUUUAUAGAAUAGUAUUUAUUUUAUUUGGGGUAUUUUAUGUACGGGCUAUUUGUUAAGUGCUCCCUAAUAUAUAAGAAAACUAUAUAUAAUGGGUUUUUUUUUCAAAAUUUAUAAAGGGACAAGUUCU
rnacentral:lncRNA from 1 species